GAAAAAUCAAAGAGAGAGCAAAAUCGGCGAGCUCCGCCGAGCGGGCGGGGCAAGGCCGAGGUAGCAGCUCCUGCAAGACCCCAAGGAAGAGGGGAGCAUGGGGGGCUACUCUGGAAAUCGCAAAAAUCCGAAACUGCAAUUCGAAGAGAAGGUUCGGGACCGCGAUGGCCCGGUUUCGGUGUCCCUGCCGCGCCUCCGCACCCUCUUUCGCGCUGGAGAACAAGGGGUCCCCGAGGGCCGGGGUCGCCGCCCUCCUACCGGGGUGCAGGUUCCCAGGGCCGCCGUUCUCCCGGGGAAGAAAGGGGCAUCCCGCCCGCCCCGAGGCCAGGGUCCCAAGGCUGGGGUCACCGUACUCCCGCAUCCCCCGGCGCUCGGUAACUGCCAGGGACCCGGCUCGGCGCGGGUGGUGGAGCUGGGAACAGAACCCAGGAGGGCCCACGGGCGCCAAAAGGAGCGUUUGCCAAGAAAAAGAUUCGAGCUCGGGGAGCGGGUGUCUCGCGGGGUGCGGGGGCCGGUUUGUUCUUUUCUCGCCCAGAUUUUGAAAACUCCAGCCCAGGCUCGUG
rnacentral:antisense_RNA from 1 species